rnacentral:rRNA from 1 species
GACGAACGCUGGCGGCGUGCCUAAUACAUGCAAGUCGAGCGAAUCGAUGGGAGCUUGCUCCCUGAGGUUAGCGGCGGACGGGUGAGUAACACGUGGGCAACCUGCCUAUAAGACUGGGAUAACUUCGGGAAACCGGAGCUAAUACCGGAUAAUUCUUUUCUACACAUGUAGGAAAGCUGAAAGACGGUUUACGCUGUCACUUAUAGAUGGGCCCGCAGCGCAUUAGCUAGUUGGUGAGGUAACGGCUCACCAAGGCGACGAUGCGUAGCCGACCUGAGAGGGUGAUCGGCCACACUGGGACUGAGACACGGCCCAGACUCCUACGGGAGGCAGCAGUAGGGAAUCUUCCGCAAUGGACGAAAGUCUGACGGAGCAACGCCGCGUGAGUGAUGAAGGUUUUCGGAUCGUAAAACUCUGUUGUUAGGGAAGAACAAGUACCAGAGUAACUGCUGGUACCUUGACGGUACCUAACCAGAAAGCCACGGCUAACUACGUGCCAGCAGCCGCGGUAACAC